rnacentral:rRNA from 1 species
AGUGAACGCUGGCGGUAGGCCUAACACAUGCAAGUCGAACGGCAGCACAGUAAGAGCUUGCUCUUACGGGUGGCGAGUGGCGGACGGGUGAGGAAUACAUCGGAAUCUACUUUUUCGUGGGGGAUAUCGUAGGGAAACUUACGCUAAUACCGCAUACGACCUACGGGUGAAAGCAGGGGAUCUUCGGACCUUGCGCGAUUGAAUGAGCCGAUGUCGGAUUAGCUAGUUGGCGGGGUAAAGGCCCACCAAGGCGACGAUCCGUAGCUGGCCUGAGAGGAUGAUCAGCCACACUGGAACUGAGACACGGUCCAGACUCCUACGGGAGGCAGCAGUGGGGAAUAUUGGACAAUGGGCGCAAGCCUGAUCCAGCCAUACCGCGUGGGUGAAGAAGGCCUUCGGGCUGUAAAGCCCUUUUGUUGGGGAAGAAAAGCAGCAGGUUAAUACCCCGCUGUUCUGACGGUACCCAAAGAAUAAGCACCGGCUAACUUCGUG